rnacentral:rRNA from 1 species
UACGUAGGUGGCAAGCGUUGUCCGGAUUUAUUGGGUUUAAAGGGUGCGUAGGCGGACUGUCAAGUCAGCGGUAAAAUUGAGAGGCUCAACCUCUUCCCGCCGUUGAAACUGGUGGUCUUGAGUGGAUGAGAAGUACGCGGAAUGCGUGGUGUAGCGGUGAAAUGCAUAGAUAUCACGCAGAACUCCGAUUGCGAAGGCAGCGUACCGGCAUCCAACUGACGCUGAGGCACGAAAGCGUGGGGAUCAAACAGG